AAAUUGAAGAGUUUGAUCAUGGCUCAGAUUGAACGCUGGCGGCAGGCCUAACACAUGCAAGUCGAACGGUAACAGGAAGCAGCUUGCUGCUUUGCUGACGAGUGGCGGACGGGUGAGUAAUGUCUGGGAAACUGCCUGAUGGAGGGGGAUAACUACUGGAAACGGUAGCUAAUACCGCAUAACGUCGCAAGACCAAAGAGGGGGACCUUCGGGCCUCUUGCCAUCGGAUGUGCCCAGAUGGGAUUAGCUAGUAGGUGGGGUAACGGCUCACCUAGGCGACGAUCCCUAGCUGGUCUGAGAGGAUGACCAGCCACACUGGAACUGAGACACGGUCCAGACUCCUACGGGAGGCAGCAGUGGGGAAUAUUGCACAAUGGGCGCAAGCCUGAUGCAGCCAUGCCGCGUGUAUGAAGAAGGCCUUCGGGUUGUAAAGUACUUUCAGCGGGGAGGAAGGUGUUGAGGUUAAUAACCUCAGCAAUUGACGUUACCCGCAGAAGAAGCACCGGCUAACUCCGUGCCAGCAGCCGCGGUAAUACGGAGGGUGCAAGCGUUAAUCGGAAUUACUGGGCGUAAAGCGCACGCAGGCGGUCUGUCAAGUCGGAUGUGAAAUCCCCGGGCUCAACCUGGGAACUGCAUUCGAAACUGGCAGGCUAGAGUCUUGUAGAGGGGGGUAGAAUUCCAGGUGUAGCGGUGAAAUGCGUAGAGAUCUGGAGGAAUACCGGUGGCGAAGGCGGCCCCCUGGACAAAGACUGACGCUCAGGUGCGAAAGCGUGGGGAGCAAACAGGAUUAGAUACCCUGGUAGUCCACGCCGUAAACGAUGUCGACUUGGAGGUUGUGCCCUUGAGGCGUGGCUUCCGGAGCUAACGCGUUAAGUCGACCGCCUGGGGAGUACGGCCGCAAGGUUAAAACUCAAAUGAAUUGACGGGGGCCCGCACAAGCGGUGGAGCAUGUGGUUUAAUUCGAUGCAACGCGAAGAACCUUACCUACUCUUGACAUCCAGAGAACUUUCCAGAGAUGGAUUGGUGCCUUCGGGAACUCUGAGACAGGUGCUGCAUGGCUGUCGUCAGCUCGUGUUGUGAAAUGUUGGGUUAAGUCCCGCAACGAGCGCAACCCUUAUCCUUUGUUGCCAGCGGUCCGGCCGGGAACUCAAAGGAGACUGCCAGUGAUAAACUGGAGGAAGGUGGGGAUGACGUCAAGUCAUCAUGGCCCUUACGAGUAGGGCUACACACGUGCUACAAUGGCGCAUACAAAGAGAAGCGACCUCGCGAGAGCAAGCGGACCUCAUAAAGUGCGUCGUAGUCCGGAUUGGAGUCUGCAACUCGACUCCAUGAAGUCGGAAUCGCUAGUAAUCGUGGAUCAGAAUGCCACGGUGAAUACGUUCCCGGGCCUUGUACACACCGCCCGUCACACCAUGGGAGUGGGUUGCAAAAGAAGUAGGUAGCUUAACCUUCGGGAGGGCGCUUACCACUUUGUGAUUCAUGACUGGGGUGAAGUCGUAACAAGGUAACCGUAGGGGAACCUGCGGUUGGAUCACCUCCUUA
rnacentral:rRNA from 2 species